AGUGAACGCUGGCGGUAGGCCUAACACAUGCAAGUCGAACGGCAGCACAGUAAGAGCUUGCUCUUACGGGUGGCGAGUGGCGGACGGGUGAAGAAUACAUCGGAAUCUACUUUUUCGUGGGGGAUAACGUAGGGAAACUUACGCUAAUACCGCAUACGACCUACGGGUGAAAGCAGGGGAUCUUCGGACCUUGCGCGAUUGAAUGAGCCGAUGUCGGAUUAGCUAGUUGGCGGGGUAAAGGCCCACCAAGGCGACGAUCCGUAGCUGGUCUGAGAGGAUGAUCAGCCACACUGGAACUGAGACACGGUCCAGACUCCUACGGGAGGCAGCAGUGGGGAAUAUUGGACAAUGGGCGCAAGCCUGAUCCAGCCAUACCGCGUGGGUGAAGAAGGCCUUCGGGUUGUAAAGCCCUUUUGUUGGGAAAGAAAAGCAGCAGGUUAAUACCCCGCCGUUCUGACGGUACCCAAAGAAUAAGCACCGGCUAACUUCGUG
rnacentral:rRNA from 1 species